GGCAGGGGCUCAUAUCCUAUUAAUUAACUAAAGUUAACAGAUGAAGGAAAAUGAAGGUCACUAGCAACUUGGUUGAUCACAUGUGCAUUGCUUUAGCAACGCUGCAGGCUGCCUUCAAGAAUCCGUGGUUGAUUCUGCUACCAAGGGAAAUCGGUAUAUAAAUUCAUGUCUCAGAUAUUAUUGAAGGCUUUGAUCGCCUUCUCUUACCAUUUAAUAGAUACCAGAAAAAGGAAAUGGCUUUGAAUAUGGUGGGAUCACUCAAACUUUUUAUGCAUAAUAUGAUAUGAACAUGUCUGCAAUAACCGUGAUUAAAGAAUUGUGGUUUCUGCAAUAAUCAUUUCUUGUUCUUAAUAUAAUUUGAUCCCCGACAUCAAUCGGACUAUCUAACAUGCCGUUUGUUUUCUCAGUAUCUUUAUUUCCUACUAACAAGUAAUGCAUGUCAUCUAGAAAAGUAUUCUUGCACUCUGUACGUGUAAUUCAGAGAGAUGUUUGCUAUUAACGUGUGGCGCACAUCCUUGCGAUGACUGGCCACAUGACUACUUUCUCAAGUGGAAGUUUUUAACUUCGUUUUCUUCUGAGCAAAUCUGCCGAUGCAGCACUGAUAGAAUACUAUCUCAGUAACUUUGAGUCUUAGUAUCUGUUGGGUGCUUUCUUAGUUUAGGAUGGAGAGGAUUUAAACUUAGGCAACUUUUUCUCUUUUUGUUGGGAGAUACCCCCCCAUGUUUGCUUUUGCUGCAUAAGAAAACAUUGAUUUUCCUUUUUUGGCAGGUUGAAUGAAGAAAUGAAGGGCAUAGACAGUCUAGCAUUGCAGCUGUAUCCUUAACAUUUGUUUCAUUAUAUCCUAUGUGCAUGUCUUGCAUAGCUUAUGCUUUGGCCUUCCAUUGUGCCAAUUACUUAUGCUGAAAUCAAGGAUUCAUCCUACUGUCUGCUGAUAUGAAGGCAUCUGGAUGCUCAGUCUAGUAUCAAGUGGCUGCCAGUUGAGAAAAAUUGCUAAACGCAGUUUAGUAUUUAGAAUUCCCAUCAACUGCAAUUCCUGAGAGUUGUUUGCUUUUGUGAUGUCAGUAUUGUUUCGGAUUCCUUAAGCGUCCAGAAAAAUCUUGAGAAGAAAUGUUGAUGCUCUAGACUCGAGAGUUAACAAGCUCCUCCAUCUUGCAUGAUGUCGACCUGCUGACCUCCCGGACUUAUUAUUACAUCAGUUAUCAAUGCGGGAGCUUCUCUUCCAACUUCUCUGCUUACCUAUGAUUGUUUUGCUUGGCAGUUAUUGUCAUUGUCGGUGUCUUUGUUAGGUAAUUAAUGGGUGAACUAGUUGUCCUGUAUGCAUCUAAGUUCGUCAAAUUCAUCGAUACCUAAAUGUUUGAGCUUCUUAAAUCCUCCAACUCCAAAACAUACUCUCCUUCAAACACCUGAGAUAACUCACGAUGUACUAGAUUGGGCAAAUACUGAAGGAAUACAAGUGGAUCAUCCUUUAACCUACUCCA